rnacentral:rRNA from 1 species
UACGGGGGGAGCAAGCGUUGUUCGGAUUUACUGGGCGUAAAGGGCGCGUAGGCGGCCACUGCAAGUCAGUUGUGAAAUCUCCGGGCUUAACUCGGAAAGGUCAACUGAUACUGCAGGGCUAGAGUGCAGAAGGGGCAACUGGAAUUCUCGGUGUAGCGGUGAAAUGCGUAGAUAUCUGGAGGAACACCGGUGGCGAAGGCGGCAUCCUGGACCGGUAUUGACGCUGAGGAGCGAAAGCCAGGGGAGCAAACGGG